rnacentral:rRNA from 1 species
AUGGCUACUGUACUGAAACAAACAAACCGGGCUGAAGAAGCCAUCGAUGCGAUAAGAUCCUUCCGUGACUGUUGUCCAAAUGAAGCUCGGGAGUCUCUUGACAAUAUUCUUCUUGACCUAUACAAGAAAUGCCGUAGGACAAAAGAGCAGAUUGAAAUGCUGAUAGUGAAGCUGAGAAUGGUUGAUGUGGAUCUAGCUUCUGGCCGGUGGAAAGCAAAGCUGUCUAAAUCUCAUGGAAGAGUAGUCUAUCUCUCUUUGAGGGAUGAAAAGGCAAGGUUGUUGGGUAACCUCGCCUGGGCCUAUAUGCAACCUGAUAACUACGAGGAGGCUGAAAUGCUCUACAAGUAUAUAUCUCGGCCUUGA